CCGCACCUCGCCUCCUCAGCCUCUCCUCAAAAAGGAGCUCGAACGUUGUCCAGGAGAGUGACUCAAGCACAACUUCAAGGAAUUCAUAUCCAUUUGGAGCGAUUGCGAAGAGGAGGGUGGGAAUGGGAUGAAGCUUGAAGCAUAUUAAUUGCAAGGAUAAAACACACUGGAUGAGUUCCGCCCAGCUCUAGAGCCCUAAUUAUACCCCCGAUGACUAGGUCGAUGAUGAUGGCAAAAGCAUCGCGGAUGAGAAAUGGAAAGUCGGGUCUCAUAGAGGAGAAGGAGAUUGAUUGCUCAUAGUCGAAAGCUACCAUUUUACAGAUGGAUUCUUUCCGUUUAAGAGCUCAAAGGAGGCGUCGAAGCCCUCAACGACACUGUUAUCUCUCUCUCUUCUAUCGCUCCUCGCCGUCAAGGGUGUUGCCUUCCCCAUCUCUUCGACGGCCGACAAACACUCCGACAAUGGCUCCGGCGCUAGCACUCCGAAAGAGGCCCACCGGCAUCCGGCGACGCACACCUUAGCUUGCAGUUGCAGCAUCCUUCGAGGAAGACGAGGCGGUGCUGGUCGUCAGAGUUGCAUCGUCGCUUCGUCCUCGCUCUCCAGCAACUCAAUUGUCCUCAAGGAGACUUUGCACAUACAUCAUGAAAAAAUUGAUGAUCUAGAGGGUUGGGUACGAGACUAGUGACUAGUGGUGAAACUGAAGAAACUAUGGUGAAAUCGAAGCAAAGCUUGAUUAGGAAUUGGCACUUGAUUUCUGCCAUCACUGUUUAUUGUGUCUUUUCUCUUCAAGACAUUGCAUAUUCUGAGAUUAAUAUGAAAAGAAACUAAAAGUGGGGGUUUUUUUUUUACAAGAAGGGUACUCAUAUAUUCCGAGAAAUUGCAAUAUUACCAGAAAGAUUCAAUCCAAAAAGAAUGUUUACUUUUAUAUAGACUUAAACAUAGAUCCAAAGUUUAUGGAUU